rnacentral:rRNA from 1 species
UAAAUCAGGAUUAGAUACCCUGUUAUACUAUCUUUCAAUUUAAGGAUACUUGAGUAGUAAACAGUUAUGUUCUCGAAACUUAAAGGAUUUGGCGGUAUUUUAGUCUAGUUAGAGGAACCUGUUCUAUAAACGAUAAACCACGAAGAAUCUUACUCUUUUUUGUAAAUCAGUUUGUAUACCGUCAUUAUUAGAUAAUCUUUAUAAAGAAUUAUUAAAAUAAGUAUUUUAGUAUAUUAGAUCAAGGUGCAGCCAAUAAGGGAGCAAGAAAUGGGUUACAAUGUUAUUGAUAUAAACUGGGAAGAAGUUGAAAAUUUUUUUGAAGGUGGAUUUAAUAGUAAUAGUCUUUUAAUAAGGGAUUAUGAUAAUAGCUCUAAGAUAUGUACACAUCGCCCGUCGCUCUCACUCUUAA